UGAAAUCUGGCGUGCUCAGUGCGUCCGAGUUGUAAUCUAUAGAGUCGUUUUCCGUGCCGGACUGUGUCCAAGUCCCUUGGAACAGGGUAUCAAAGAGGGUGAUAAUCCCGUACUUGACACAAUGACCGGUGCUCUGUGAUACGUCUUCUACGAGUCGAGUUGUUUGGGAAUGCAGCUCAAAAUGGGUGGUGAGUUCCAUCUAAAGCUAAAUAUUGGCGAGAGACCGAUAGCGAACAAGUACCGUGAGGGAAAGAUGAAAAGCACUUUGGAAAGAGAGUUAAACAGUACGUGAAAUUGUUAAAAGGGAAACGAUUGAAGUCAGUCGUGACUGAGAGGCUCAGCCGGUUCUGCCGGUGUAUUCCCCUCAGUCGGGUCAACAUCAGUUUUGUUCGGUGGAUAAGGGCAGUUGGAAGGUGGCACCCUCGGGUGUGUUAUAGCCAGCUGUCGCAUACAUCGGAUGAGACUGAGGAAUGCAGCUCGCCUUUAUGGCCGGGGUUCGC
rnacentral:rRNA from 1 species